UACGGAAGGCAGCAGUGGGGAAUAUUGCACAAUGGGCGAAAGCCUGAUGCAGCUAUGCCGCGUGUAUGAAGAAGGCCUUAGGGUUGUAAAGUACUUUCAUCGGGGAGGAAAAACAAAACUAAUAAUUUUAUUUCUUGACGUUACCCGAAAAAGAAGCACCGGCUAACUCCGUGCCAGCAGCCGCGGUAAUACGGAGGGUGCUAGCGUUAAUCAGAAUUACUGGGCGUAAAGAGCACGUAGGUGGUUUUUUUAAGUCAGAUGUGAAAUCCCUGGGCUUAACCUAGGAACUGCAUUUUGAAACUGAAAUACUAGAGUAUCGUAGAGGGAGGUAGAAUUCUAGGUGUAGCGGUGAAAUGCGUAGAUAUCUGGAGGAAUACCUGUGGCGAAAGCGGCCUCCUAAACGAAUACUGACACUGAGGUGCGAAAGCGUGGGGAGCAAACGAGGAUUAGACUACC
rnacentral:rRNA from 1 species